ACUAACCCGACAGUGAGCGUUUUUCUGAACCAAUACGCACAUCGAGGGGAGCAUACUGAUGCCGGCGUUGUGCAAGCCCACCCUGAGUGGGAAGCCUGAACCGUCACAUCCGCCCCCCACCUGAACCCCAGGGUUCAAAUAACAGAGCUGCCGGGUUACUU
rfam:Legionella geestiana strain ATCC 49504 Lgee_ctg072, whole genome shotgun sequence.